CCGGAAGUGCAGCUGCAGGAAUGACUCCCUCCGCCGGCGCCAAACACUAACAACCACCCCCUCUUCCCCACUCCACUUCCGCCACCGCCGCGCCGCCGCCGCCACUCCGGUUCGCGUCUUCGGCUGCGCUGCACCGCACUGCCCGCUCCGCUCCGCUCCGCACCGCACCCGGGGCCGGGCGGCGGCCGGCAGCAAGGCGGCGGCGGCUCUCCUCUGCGCCUUUCUCCUCAGGGCGGCUGUGGAUGUUGCCUUUUAGUGUCGAUCCUGCGGAGCGGCGUUUUCGCUGCGGCACGGGCGGGCCGGGUCUUCCCGGUCUUUAUUUUCCUGGAAACCGACCGGAGCGGGGCCCGAGUUCGGUGGUGGUAGCGUGCGUGGGGGGCGCUCAGGCCCGGACCGUCUCGCAGCCCGCGCACGCCGCCCCAACUGUUCGUCUUUAGCUCUCGGGAGCCGAGCUCGGGGCGGCCGCGUAGAGGACGCCCGCGAUCCGACGGCGACCGAGCAUUUUUUAAAUGGUGUCCCUGCAGCCGGGUGGAUGGAUGUAUCGUAUUGUACACCUUUCUCUCCUUUUGAGAGGCCAGACUUUACGCCAGUCUCUGCAUUAUUUCUGAGGAGUGAGAACGCAACGCGUGGAGGAGACGAAGAUUCUCAGCUGGAUUGAAAUGGAACCAUGUUUGUGAUGCAUAUAUUUCUGGAAAUAUGUGGUCUUUUCUGGUCUUGCAUUUUGUUGCCUGUGGUUUUGGCUCUUGCCUAGCAGUCGGGAGAAGGGCCUAUAGGCGACGCUGUUCGAGCGAGGAGCCAGUCCGCGCCCCCCUCUAGUUGUGGGUGGAGCCGAGCACGCGGGGAGAGCCGGCGGAGUGCGGGCCGCGGGGGGGCCUGGGGCCAGACGAUUUCAGACUUCGUUUUCCUUUACGUUCGAAACAGUGAGGUACUGGCCAAGGCUGGAGUACAAAUGUGAUUGUGUGUACAGUUCCAAGCCUCCUGUAGUCUCUGACUGAAACACGUGAAAUAACUUUACCGUACAGGUCACUAUUAAGUUUACUUCUGUACAUUAAAAGGGGGCUAUUCUUCAGGUAAAAAGUGCAUAGGUGGUGAAACUUAGGUGGAUCAGAACAAAGCAAAGCUUAUUAACCAUUAAGCAGAAGCAAUUCAAGUAGAAAUAUAAAAGUGGAAAUGUCUCAGUAUUAUAACCUAAGAUGGAAAACCAAAGAAAAUAGUACCUAGGGCCAUGAUGAAUUACUCACUAGAUGUAACAGUAAACCAUUUCUUAAUAAUUCCAUUUUUAUUGAAAGCUGAAAUUAGUCUCUAAUAGGCACAUUAUAAAAUGAUCAAGUUGGCAGAAAUAGAUUGAUCUUACAUUAAAAUUGUAUGUACUUUGAUAAUCUAAAAAACAAAGGAUAAAUUUUAAUAAAGAAUGAUUACAGUGAAUUAAUAUGAGGUGAUUUUUCACUUUAAAAAUAAAAAAUAGAAUUGUUUCCAUUACCCUUUAUAAACAAAACAAAAAGUAAUACCUUGAUUUGUGACAUGUUUGGAGGAAUAUAGUAGCUAAAUGACAGUUGUACUGUCAGCUUAUUUAAUAUAUUCUAAGUACCUCAAAAUCUCCGAUAGAAUGAUUAUUCGAAGUAAAAUUGUAAGAGCUGGGUGUUAGCUAACUGUAUUAAAAUUAAAAAAUUUAAAGGCCCAAACAAUUUUAGUUUAAUAAACUAAAUAAUGGUAGUCUAGCCGCUUACUCAUUGUAAGGUUUGUGGAAACAUACUGUCCAAAGCAUAGAAGGACAAUGGACUCAGGGAGAUUUUAGCUAUAGGUAUAUUUACUUAUGUGUUUGUUCAUUCUAAAAAUAUACUUCUUGAACACAUACUAUCUCCACAGGACAUGGAGCAUGUAUUCAUUCUUACAUCUUGUUGAAAGAUUUAAUUUCAUUAAUAUUAUGUUAAUAGUCAUAGAAAUUCAAUAUGCAGCCCAUUGAAUCCAAGGAGAUGACACUUAGAAGCAAAUCAUUUAAUAUUGAGUACUAGAAGGUAGACUGUAAACCUCUGUAAGUUAGUUCUUUUAUAAUACUACAUUAUACUGACAUUAUAUAUUGUCAUCUGGUGUCAAAUCAGUUAAUCACAGCAAUAAUAUCCAAUAAGUAAAAUUCAUCUAACAGCAGCUGUAGAGACAUUUUAGUGCCAAAAAAGAAUUCAACCAGUAUUACUACGAAUUAUGUGCUUCUUUUACACAUAAGUUGCUAUAAAUAUGGGCUAUUAGAAUUGCAUAAACUGACUUCCCUGGUGGAGCAGUGGUUAAGAAUCCAACUGCCAAUGCAGGGGAUACGGGUUCUAUCCCUGGUCUGGGAAGAUCACACAUGCUGCGGAGCAACUAAGCCCGUGAGCCACAACUAGUGAAGCCCGUGCUCCGCAACAAGAGAAGCCACUGCAAUGAGAAGCCCGCGCACUGCAAUGAAGAGUAGCCCCCACUCGCCACAACUAGAGAAAGCCUGCACGCAGCAAUGAAGACCCAACACAGCCAAAAAUAAAUUAAUUAAUUUUUAAAAAGUGCAUAAACAGCCUGACCUUUUAAUUAUAUUUUAAAUUUUGUUAGUGUUUUCACCCAUGGAAAAUGCUAUACUGAUCUUUUAAAAAUUUCAUUAAUAAAGUGGCAAUAGCUUUGCCAUGAACCAUUUUUUUAUUGAUAAGCAUAAUAAUGGGUUAAUUCAUCAAAAUUCAAUAGAAACUAUUAACUUUGUCACCAAAGUCAACAUUUCAGAGUCUAAAAUACGUAGUAUGUUUUUCUGCUUUAUCUAGUUUUUAUUUAACAUCUAAAGCUCUGUAAAGAUAAAACCAGAGGAAGGAAAGAAAAUAGCUCAUACCUUAUCUUAUUCCAGAGUAGGGAAUGGUGACAGAUUAAGAAAAGCACCCAAACAGUGACUUCCAGUGAACAAAAUGAGGUCUGAGUAAAGAAUUUUGCUUUCCCUAAAAAAAAUUAAAUACAACAUUUUAGUCAGGAAUUUAUACCCACACAUGAAUACUGUUUUUAACACUGCACUUGAGACAUUUAAAAUAUUUUAUUUUCUCUUUGAAAAAACAACACCAAAAUCCAAAUUGCUUUAGUAGUCAUGUUUCUAGUUUAUCAUCUUCUUUUGGUCUUACACUGUUGAAUUCUGCAUCUCUUCUAAAGCACCUCUCUGGUGUAGCCUUCUCGCUAUUGCCUUCUUCCUAAUUCAGUCAUCAACAUUCAUUAGCUUUCUCCAAUAUAUUCAGCUGAUCUCUCAAGAUCAUAUCCAGACAAACUAUGUAACUUUUGCUUUAUGUAAGGAGAAAUAGCUUAUUAUGAAUUUAGAAGAGCUAUAGUAGUACUUGACAAUACUUUAUAUAUGCAAAUGUAUUUUUAAUUUGAAGAACUUACUGCACAUCUUGUAGGCGUUAUGUAAAAAAUUUUAAUGUCUAUUUUGUUUUAGUUUAGAAUUAAUAAUGAUUUAAUGUUUAAUCUUGUGUUUACAUUAAAUAUUUUGGGCUUAAUUCUCCCUAUAAUAUUCCUGUAAAAACAUCAUGGUUGUGAAAUCUCGGUUUAAGAAAUGCUCAUCGGAAAACUGGUUUGAAAUUAUUUUGAUUACAAUGUAACUAUUAUAUUCAGUAUGGCAAGAGUUAAGUGUGACCUCUGAAUAAAUGUGCUUUUAAUUCUGA